GGCGUGUGACUGCGUACCUUUUGUAUAAUGGGUCAGCGACUUAUAUUCUGUAGCAAGGUUAACCGAAUAGGGGAGCCGAAGGGAAACCGAGUCUUAACUGGGCGUUAAGUUGCAGGGUAUAGACCCGAAACCCGGUGAUCUAGCCAUGGGCAGGUUGAAGGUUGGGUAACACUAACUGGAGGACCGAACCGACUAAUGUUGAAAAAUUAGCGGAUGACUUGUGGCUGGGGGGGAAAGGCCAAUCAAACCGGGAGAUAGCUGGUUCUCCCCGAAAGCUAUUUAGGUAGCGCCUCGUGAACUCAUCUCCGGGGGUAGAGCACUGUUUCGGCAAGGGGGUCAUCCCGACUUACCAACCCGAUGCAAACUGCGAAUACCGGAGAAUGUUAUCACGGGAGACACACGGCGGGUGCUAACGUCCGUCGUGAAGAGGGAAACAACCCAGACCGCCAGCUAAGGUCCCAAAGUCAUGGUUAAGUGGGAAACGAUGUGGGAAGGCCCAGACAGCCAGGAUGUUGGCUUAGAAGCAGCCAUCAUUUAAAGAAAGCGUAAUAGCUCACUGGUCGAGUCGGCCUGCGCGGAAGAUGUAACGGGGCUAAACCAUGCACCGAAGCUGCGGCA
rnacentral:rRNA from 1 species